UGGGGAAUAUUGCACAAUGGGCGCAAGCCUGAUGCAGCGACGCCGCGUGGGGGAUGACGGCCUUCGGGUUGUAAACUCCUUUCGUCAGGGACGAAGCGAAAGUGACGGUACCUGGAUAAGAAGCACCGGCUAACUACGUGCCAGCAGCCGCGGUAAUACGUAGGGUGCGAGCGUUGUCCGGAAUUACUGGGCGUAAAGAGCUCGUAGGUGGUUUGUCGCGUCGUUGGUGUAAGUCCACGGCUUAACGGUGGGAUGGCAGGCGAUACGGGCAUAACUUGAGUGCUGUAGGGGAGACUGGAAUUCCUGGUGUAGCGGUGAAAUGCGCAGAUAUCAGGAGGAACACCGAUGGCGAAGGCAGGUCUCUGGGCAGUAACUGACGCUGAGGAGCGAAAGCAUGGGUAGCGAACA
rnacentral:rRNA from 1 species